GACGAACGCUGGCGGCGUGCUUAACACAUGCAAGUCGAGCGGAAAGGCCUCUUUGGGGGUGCUCGAGCGGCGAACGGGUGAGUAACACGUGAGUAACCUGCCCUGGGCUUGGGGAUAACCCUCGGGAAACGGGGCUAAUACCCGAUAUUCACGUCGGUCUGCAUGGGCUGGUGUGGAAAGUNUUUUUUGGCUCAGGUUGGGCUCGCGGCCUAUCAGCUUGUUGGGUGGGGUGAUGGCCUACCAAGGCGACGACGGGUAGCCGGCCUGAGAGGGCGACCGGCCACACUGGGACUGAGACACGGCCCAGACUCCGUACGGGAGGCAGCGAGUGGGGAAUCUUGCGCAAUGGGCGAAAGCCUGACGCAGCGACGCCGCGUGAGGGAUGAC
rnacentral:rRNA from 1 species